GGAUAUGGGGGUAAUUUGAUUAUGGCAUCUGUCGUCCCACUGACUGCCAGAGUUGAGAGCUCGCCUGGCUGGCUAAUGGGUGUCCUCUUCCUCCCUCACCAUAUGCAUUCCCCAUCCUUGCUCAAGCUGCAAGCUCAAAGAGGACAAUGUUCCCAGAGAGAGGAAGGCCACAACAACCAGAUGUGUUCCCCUGCUGAAACUUCCAAACAAGUUCUCAAGGCCCACAGCGACAUUAUUCACAACACCCAUAAGGUAGAAGUGACCCAACUGAGCAGUGAACAAAAUGUGGUAAAUACACACAACAGAGUACGACUC
ensembl:misc_RNA 7SK 7SK RNA